rnacentral:rRNA from 1 species
AUAUUUGACAAUUGGGGCAACCCUGAUCCAGCCAUGCCGCGUGUGUGAAUAAGGUCUUCGGAUUGUAAAGCACUUUAAGUUGGGAGGAAGGGCUUUAGGUUAAUACCCUGAAGUUUUGACGUUACCAACAGAAUAAGCACCGGCUAACUCUGUGCCAGCAGCCGCGGUAAUACAGAGGGUGCAAGCGUUAAUCGGAAUUACUGGGCGUAAAGCGGGCGUAGGUGGGUCAGUAAGAUGGGUGUGAAAUACCCGGGCUUAACCUGGGAACUGCUUUCAUAACUGCUGAGCUAGGGUACGGUAGAGAGUAGUGGAAUUUCCUGUGUAGCGGUGAAAUGCGUAGAUAUAGGAAGGAACACCAGUGGCGAAGGCGACUACCUGGACUAAUACUGACACUGAGGUGCGAAAGCGUGGGGAGCAAAC